UAGAAAAUAAUAUAAUGGAAGUAUAGAGGGUUUUGAUCUCUCUAGUGUAGGUUCGAUUCCUGCUUUUCUAA
rnacentral:tRNA from 1 species